GACGAACGCUGGCGGCGUGCUUAACACAUGCAAGUCGAACGGAAAGGCCCUGCUUGCAGGGUACUCGAGUGGCGAACGGGUGAGUAACACGUGGGUGAUCUGCCCUGCACUUCGGGAUAAGCCUGGGAAACUGGGUCUAAUACCGGAUAGGAGCCAUUUUUAGUGUGAUGGUUGGAAAGUUUUUUCGGUGUAGGAUGAGCUCGCGGCCUAUCAGCUUGUUGGUGGGGUAAUGGCCUACCAAGGCGGCGACGGGUAGCCGGCCUGAGAGGGUGGACGGCCACAUUGGGACUGGGAUACGGCCCAGACUCCUACGGGAGGCAGCAGUGGGGAAUAUUGCACAAUGGGCGCAAGCCUGAUGCAGCGACGCCGCGUGGGGGAUGACGGCCUUCGGGUUGUAAACUCCGUUCGCUAGGGACGAAGCUUUUUGUGACGGUACCUAGAUAAGAAGCACCGGCUAACUACGUG
rnacentral:rRNA from 1 species